UCCCUGGUGGCCCAGUGGUCAGGACUGCACACUCCCAAUGUAGGGGCACAGGUUCGAUCCCUGGUCAGGGAA
rfam:TPA: Bos taurus chromosome 19, whole genome shotgun sequence.